rnacentral:tRNA from 1 species
AGAAGAUUAGUCCAAAUAAGACCUCUGAUUUCGGCUCAGAAAAUCAUGGUUAAACUCCAUGACCUUCUU